rnacentral:rRNA from 1 species
AGCAGUCGCCGCGGAAUACGUAGGUGGCAAGCGUUGUCCGGAAUUAUUGGGCGUAAAGGGCUCGCAGGCGGUUUCUUAAGUCUGAUGUGAAAGCCCCCGGCUCAACCGGGGAGGGUCAUUGGAAACUGGGAAACUUGAGUGCAGAAGAGGAGAGUGGAAUUCCACGUGUAGCGGUGAAAUGCGUAGAGAUGUGGAGGAACACCAGUGGCGAAGGCGACUCUCUGGUCUGUAACUGACGCUGAGGAGCGAAAGCGUGGGGAGCGAACAGGAUUAGAUACCCCUGUAGUCCCUGUCUCUUAUACA